GCCACGUCGGGCGCGCAGGACCCGACUACAAACAGCUGAGAGUCAGCCCACGGCUGUCAGUGAGCUGGCUGUGUGACCGGCCGAAGAGACCCGGUCGGAUUACCUGCUGCUGUCCUGACGCUGAGAUUGGGCACGGGGGAUGGGGGAGGGAGUAGUACUGUAUUUAUGUAGGUCGCACAGUAAAUCUCUUGGUGCACUGCCUACUCAGCCUAGGAGUCUAAAGAUUUACGAAUAUUAACACUUAAAAGGCAUCGGACUGUGCCUAGAAUAACGGAACCUAUGAGUGCCAUAAAUGUCUGCCCAAAUCUCGGCUACUGCGCAGUAAGGUAAAUCUUUAUUAAGGCCAGAGCCUUCUCUCUUCCUUGCAAAAGGAACAUAGAUGCGGCUAGAACUGAGGGGAGCUGAAGAGCUGCAUCAGCUCAACCCUACAAAGCAAGAGCCCACUGUCAAGUUGAGCAUAUAUUGAAUCUUCCGAUCACUGCACGAAUGUCCCCGAGGAUAGAAGGCCUUUCUCACUGCUGCUUCGGAGUACGAACAACCCUGUUUUUAACGAAAGUAUUAACAUAAAAUGGGGGUUUUCAGUGCAGAGAAGCUUAGUCCUCAAAAAGGAUAGCUUGAGAUAAAAGGCAAGGCAGAUAUACUGACCAAUUCUCUAGGUCUUAGACAGCAUUGUAGAAGUUCACAUUUAGUGACUGUGAUGGUAACCAGGAAGACAAUCUAGCCUGUGAAGAUAGACCUGAAAGAUGUCUGCAGGAAGCCAUGAUUUAAAGAAAAAUCUCAGCAUCAGGCCAAGCAAGCAGUGAUGGUGUACACCUUUAAUCCCAGCACUUGGGAGGCAGAUAAACAGUGGCUCAUGCUGAAACAGGAGGUUCCCUGAGAGUGUGAUUCCACCUAGGGAAACACAGUGAAUUCCAUCCUGAGCUUCAGCACGAGAGACUGUCUCACAAAGCUAAAGCCAAAAACAAAAACAAGCCGUACAUUCAGCCACUGAUGCAUUAAGAAUGUGUUGGGCAUUUCAUUAUUUACAUCUCAUUCUCUAAGCAGCAGUAUUUUUAUUAUCCCCCAUUUUAUUGAAGAAACUGCAGCUCAAAAAAGCAAAGUAACUUCCCUAUGGUCAAUGGCUACGCCAUUGCAGAGCUGAGGUCAGGUCCCAAGAACAUGAGCCUUACAGACUGUACUAAUAACCAUUUUCUCUGAUGGAAGCAAAUUACUGGAAACUACUAAAAACUUAAGAUAUUAGACCACCUCAUCAACCACAGUAUGACAACACACUUGAUGGCAACUAGGAGGCAAUGCUUGACAAAGCCAGGACAAUCAUGGGCCAGCUGACUGGAGGGGCACUCUGAAGGACAGAAGGGAUCCUGAAGUUACCUAGAGGCUAGCAACACAAUCUCUGCUCAGGUCAUGUCAGGAGAGAAGACUGUAGGAGUAGAGAAACUGACACACUUCAACUUUAAAAUAAAUUUAGAGAAUUUCUUUUUAUUUCCCCAGCUCCAAAAACAAGGGAUUUUGUAGAAAGUAGGACCAGAGAAACUUGGUGGCAAAUUCUCAUUUGCUGUCUUUGUCCUCAGCCCAUUUUCUGCAAAUAAUUAGGAUGACCUCUGAGAUGAAUCAAGAACAGAGUAAGUUGGUUACUGGGUAAACAGGACUAAUUUCACAAUCCAUCUUGGUGGAAGAGAAGAUAGCGACCAUUCCAGAAAGAUAUACAGAUUGGGGCAAAAGCUAGGGCCAGCACUAAGAAAUAAAAGCUAAAAUUCGAAGAAGAUAUCAGAAGAUGGAAAGAUCUCCCAUGCUCAUGGCUUGGCAGGAUUAACAUAGUAAAAAUGGCCAUCUUACCAAAAGCAAUCUACAGAUUCAAUGCAAUUCCCAUCAAAUUACCAACACAAUUCUUUACAGACCUGGAAAGAAAAAUUCUCAACUUCAUGUGGAAUAACAAGAAACCCAGAAUUGCCAAAACAAUCCUCUACAAUAAAAGAUCUUCUGGAGGUAUCUCCAUCCCUGAUCUUAAGCUGUACUAUAGAGCAACAGUUAUAAAAACUGCAUGGUACUGGCAUAGAAACAGAAUGGUGGAUCAAUGGAACCAAACAGAGGACCCAGAAAUAAACCCAUACACUUAUGGACACCUGAUCUUUGACAAAGAUGCCAAAACCAUACAAUGGAAAAAAGAUAGCAUCUUCAACAAAUGGUCUAACUGGAUGUCUACAUGUAAAAAAAUGAAAAUAGAUCCAUACUUAUCACCCUGCACAAAACUGAAGUCCAAGUGGAUCAAAGACCUCAACAUAAAACCGGACACAUUAAAUUGGUUAGAAAAAAAAAGUGGGGAACACCCUUGAACUCAUUGGCACAGGAGACAACUUCCUGAACAGAACACUAACAUCACAGGCUCUAAGAGCAACAAUCAAUAAAUGGGACCUCAUGAAACUGAAAAGCUUCUGUAAAGCAAAGGACACCAUCAUCAAAACAAAACAACUGCCUACAGACUGGGAAAGAAUCUUCAUCAACCCUUUAUCUGACAGAGGGCUAAUAUCCCGUAUAUAUAAAGAACUAAAGAAGCUAAAAAAAACAGCAAACCAAGUAAUCCAAUUAAAAAUAUGGGGAACAGAGCUAAACAGAGAACUCUCUGUAGAGGAAUAUUGAAUGGCAGAGAAAUACUUAAAGAAAUGCUCAACGUCAUUAGCCAUUAGGGAAAUGCAAAUCAAAACGACCCUGAGAUUUCACCUUACACCCAUCAGAAUGGCCAAGAUGAAAAACUCAAGUGACAACACAUGCUGGAGAGGUUGUGGAGAAAGGGGAAACCUCCUCACUGCUGGUGGGAAUGUAAACUUGUACAACCACUCUGGAAAUCAACCUGGCGCUUUCUCAGACAACUAGGAAUAACGCUUCCUCAAGAUCCAGCCAUACCACUCCUAGGCAUAUAUCCAAAAGGGGCUCAAGUACACCAUGUUUGUGGCAGCUUUAUUCCAGAAGCUGGAAACAGCCCAGAUGCCCCUCAACUGAAGAAUGGAUGCAGAAGUUGUGGUACAUCUACACAAUGGAGUACUACUCUGCAAUGAAAAAUAAGGAAAUUAUGAAAUUUGCAGGUAAAUGGUGGGAACUGGAAAGGAUCAUCCUGAGUGAGCUGUCCCAGAAACAGAGGGACACACAUGGUAUAUACUCACUCAUAUAGACAUACAACAUAGGAUAAACCUACUAAAACCUGUACAUCUAAAGAAACUAAUUAAGAGAGAGAACCCUGACUAAAACGCUCAAUCCCUAUCACAAAAGGCAAAGAAGAUGGGCAUCAGAAGAAGAAAAAAAAAAAAAAAAAAAAAAAACAGGAAACAACCUAGGAACCUGCCACAGAGGGCCUCUAAAAGCCUCUGCCCUGCAGACUAUCAAAGCAGACACUGAGACUUAUGGCCAGCUGUUGGGCAAAGUGCAGGGAAUCUUAUGUAAGAAGUGGGAAAUAGUAAGAUCUGGAGAGGACAGGAACCCCACAAGGAGAGCAACAGAACCAGAAAAUUUGAACACAGGGGUCUUCCCAGAGACUCAUACUCCAACCAAGUACCAUGCAUGGAGAUAACCUAGAACCCCUGCACAGAUGUAGUCCACGGCAGUGUAGUGUCCAAGUGGGUUACAUAGUAGUGGGAAGAGGGACUGCCUCUGACAUAAUCUAACAGGCCUGAUCACCUCCCCCUGAGGGGAAAGCAGCCUUACCAGGCCACAGAAGAUGACAAUGCAGCCACUCCUGAUGAGAUCUGAUAGACUAAGAUCAGAAGGAAGGAGAGGAGGACCUCCCCUAUCAGUGGACUUGGGG